AUAUAUAAUUAGACACUUAUUAUAAAUUAUAAUAUAUAUUUAGACAUUUAUCAUGAAUUAAAUUAGUUGAACAAUACUUGUAUUUUGGGUAGCAUAUGCUUAUGUCAAUUAAGAAUUUGAAGGCAUUAUUAUUAUUUUUAGUUUAUACAUAUGUGGGUUUGGACUUCCAUUUUAUAUUAUCUAUGGUGACCUUUGUAUGGAAGCAAGAUACCUUCUUUAUUGAUGAAUUAAUUAAUGAUUUUUUGUGUUUA